UACCUAUCAUCUUUUAUUCGACAUCUCUACCAUGUUAUUAUUCUUCGGUGCUGAAAAGUCGGAUUCCAAUAUCCACCACUUUGUGUUGCUGUCGGGAACCAAUAAUGUCCAUCUUCUUGUCUUAUAUUCACGUGUCACAUUCUAAAUAUUUCUAACAAGUGAAAGAUGACUAAUCUGACCAAACCCACAAAACAUUGUCGUUUAAUUAGCAAAUAAUGCUGAUGAAAAGUCUUCACUUGUUCUCUUCCUCAAUUCUCCACCGAUUUGCUUCCCGCAGCAUGUUUUGUUUUCAACUAAUUAAAGUUAUAAUUGGUUAAAGAGAUUGUAGAUUCGUUAAUAACCGGUUAUUAACUCAAAAGCAUCAAUCUUUUUUCCCUUUUUUCUGGCUUGAUUGGUAUUAGAAUUCGAAAUGGGCCAGUGAACUUAAAUGAGCCAUUGAACUUUAAGAGACCCAAGUAAGUGAGAUCCUUGCUAGCUGAGUUUCUAUCGGUGUAUUUGAUUAUGGCUAUAAAAGUGAAAGACAUUUUAGAACGAGUUAAACUGAUAUCUCUCAACCAAGGAGGAGCCUACUUCAAUACUCAAGGACAAGAUUCAUCUGUUAUUCUCCGUGUAAAAGAAGAUCAUGAUGGUGCAGGGGCUUCAGGAAGCUCUGUUUCUGCUAUUAACCUUGUGAGAUUAUAGCUUCCACAGUCUCCCGGCAGUCUUCGAGUUGAGGUUAAGAGAUGGCGGUACCGCUGAUUUGCUGCUCUUCAGAUACUAUCUUUGUUCAGUCGAGAAAACAAGUUGUAUUGCUCGGUUCUAAGUCUUCUCUAGCGAUCAACAACAUGCUUUCCGCAGCAUACUCUGUUUAUGAUCUCCAAAGCCGGUCCUAGGCAAAACCGAAUGAAUUUUUUAAAAAAAUUACAUAGACAUAGGUUUCUAAAAUUAUUUAAAAAAAAUAAAAAUUGAAAUCUUUACUAAAUGGCCUAAAGUCUCCCAAAAUCUAUGGGCAAGCCCUGGUCAUCUUAAUAAAACAGUUAGAGGCUUAAACUGAUUCCAGUUUUCAGCUCAACGGGCAGUAAAUUUGUGAUUUUUUUGUGGGUGUUUUUGCUGAGAAGGUGAUUCAAACAGAUCCUUCAUGAGAUGAGAUGGGAUUCUAGGAAGAGUAUAAGAGUAAUGUAGCUGAGAUGGCGAAGGGAAACAAAAACUCCGAGAAAGUUGUGACUCUUGCUUGUCAACACUUCGCUUGUAGUACUGUCUUUGAUUCUUCUUCUCUUACUCGCUUACUCUCCAAGUAAUAAAGAGAUUCCAUGUUUUAAUGGUUGCUUGUGUUGUAAAGAGCAUGAUCAACGUUUUGGUUUCUGUAAAGUUAAUAAAUAAAGGAGGCGUCUUCUGGUAAUGGCAAUGUGGAAACUUAACCGAGUUUUGUAAGUAUGUGAUUUGAUUUGUGAAUAUGGAGUUGCUCAGACAGCCAUCAUUGUUUUGGCAGGUUCAAAACUCAAAAGCAAGCAUGUGACAAAUUCGACCCUUCGUUCUACCCUCUUUUUAAGAAAUGGUAUGAUGAUUACUUUUACAUUAAGGUCUGCGGUUAAUUUAACACCAUUCCAAUUGUUUUUGUGAGAUCUUAGCAUGUUCUGGAACUAGAGACUUUAAUUAUUAGACUCAUGUGUAAGGAAUAGGUUUAAUUAUUAGAGUCAUGUGUAAGAGUCUCAAGGUGUGGUUAGGUUGAUGCAAUAAUAAAAGCUUUUGUCCUGUGUGGUUUGAAAACUCUAGAAAAACUUAAAUGGUUUGCGACACUAACAAAGCUUGGAGGGAUAUUUUUUGAUGAUCUGAAUGACUAUGUCAGAAGAUGUGUCUGUCAUUUGCAACAGCAACAAAGCAUUUGACAAUUUGUCUUUAGAAACUUCCUAGUUAUCAAUUCAAAAGAAAAAAAAACUUCCUAGUUAGCUAAUUUGAAUUCUGAGACGAUUUCUGCAGAAGUGCUAGCUCAGUAAUACAAGCUUAUAUAUAUAUACCCAUAAAGACAUUCAGUGAGCAACACAAGGCAUGUCAACAGUUAUCAAGGUGGAGUAUUUUGAAUUAACUUGGUAAGAUUAGAUAUCUGCUUUGUUUAUAAAAUCUCUUCUGUCUCUUAUAGAAACCUCUCGUGCCACAUAUUUGUUACCAAUAUACUAUUUCUGUUUAAAAAAAAAAAUAUAUAUAUAUAUAUAUAUAUAUACUAUUUCUGUUUCGUAAUAUAUGAUGUUAGUUUUAUAAUUGGUUCAAUCACUUUUUUUCAUCUGUUAAAUUCAUUGAUAGACCUAUGAAAGGUCAUAAAGGUGUUACAAAUCAAACCACCAUCUGACAUCCCCUCAAAAAAUACCAUCACUUCAAGACCAAUCUAUACAAACCAUUGAUCUACAGCCAAAAAAAACAUUCCAAAAUAAGUUCCUAAAUAAUUGGUUCAAUCACUUUAAAUUGAUAUUUUUAGUGAUGCUUUUAGAUAAAAAAUAUUUUUUUUAGUUUUUGUGUUUUAGGCAUAACAUUUUAUAAUUUAAAAUAGAUGGAGUAUAUAUAUUUUUUAAAAGGUGUAUGACCAGGGAUAUAAGUUAUAAGAGUAUCUCCAACCCAGAACACUAUUAUAGUGUCAAAACCACAUUAUUUUAGUAUAAUUUCAACACAAAAAAAAGGUUUUUUUCCAACCAUAACACCAAAUUUUACACUAAAAGCUAUUUUAUAAUAUUAUAUGUAUUUAUAGUUUUAUUUGUCAUUUAUUUAAUUGUCCAUUUUAUUAAUAAAUUAAGUGAAUAAUUUUUUAGUGGGGUGAAUAGUGUUUUAGUGUGGUGAAUAGUGUCAUACCAAAUUUGGUGUGAAAUUAUAGUGUUGCAUUAAAAUAGUGUGAUUUUUAGUGUUGGAUUGGAGAAGUUUUUAGUGUCAAAAUUACACUAAAAUAGUGUUUUGGAUUUGGGUUGGAAAUGGCCUAACCAUGCAAAGUUUUUUUUGGCUUAGAUAACCAUGCAAAGUUCUUAAUAUGUUAUCAAAAUCAAGAAAGUAAAUCUUUGUUCAUUCUAGCUGAAUACUAUUGAUUUUUUCUCGAGUUGUGGAUGCAGAAAUCAUGAGGAAUGGAGACGCUAUUAGAUGCUUGUGUCAGCCCAGAAGAGUGUAUUUUGUUAAUCAAGGUUAUUAUCAUAUUAUGCUCAUUGGCUCUUUGUUAAUUUUGAGUAAAAACCCUUAAAAGGGUAAGAGUCUAAUGAAGAAUGAGACAGUAGACCUAUAAU